UACGUAGGGUGCGAGCGUUAAUCGGAAUUACUGGGCGUAAAGCGUGCGCAGGCGGUUUUGUAAGCCAGAUGUGAAAGCCCCGGGCUCAACCUGGGAAUUGCAUUUGAGACUGCGUAGCUAGGGUGCGGAAGAGGGAAGCGGAAUUUCCGGUGUAGCGGUGAAAUGCGUAGAGUAUCGGAAGGAACACCAGUGGCGGAAAGCGGCUUCCUGGUCCAGCACCGACGGUUCAGGCACGAAAAGCGUGGGGAGCAAACAGG
rnacentral:rRNA from 1 species